UCCUGCUAAUUAGAGGAGAUCAUUUUGCCAUGGGCAGACCUUCAAGCAGAAUUAAGGAAAUAAGACCUUUUGCUUGUUUGUUUUUAAUAAUUGUCAGACAGGAACAUUUACUGGACAAGUAUUGCACAGAUAUUGAUUCACAACCGACUGCGUGAUAUUAAAAGUGAAGUCAGUGUCACCAAAGCUGAUAAGUAUCUCUCUAUAUCAAGGAGGAAGAGGUUCAGCCUUUUCCUCCAUUUGUAGGUUUUCUGCCUGAGGGAAGGGGACUCAGCUCAGACCUCUCUGUGGAAUGGGAAAGGUGAUGGAGGUAGAACGGCCAUGGCGAUGUGGAGCCUCGGAGCAUUGUGAGAAGGUCUCCCUGUAAACAGAGGAAGCCAGCCUCAGUUUGAGGAUAUCUCUGCUUCGGACACUGCCAGGCAGCUUUCCUCACUGUAGAAGGUGUGGAUCUCCUGUCCCCGCAGGGUCCCUGCUGCAUCAGAGUAAACAGCCGCAUUUCAGAGGGCAAACUCAGUGCCUAAGGCCCACGGACAAAAAUCUAAAUUCACCAAGCCCUCAGCGCCUUACGCAGUGGUCCCAAGAUCUGUGAGUUUGGAACCAGGAAAAUAUUUACCAGGGGACGACAGCUGCCGUUCCCGAGCAUUUGCUCCCACAUUGGCGCCAUUGGAUGACUUGCCAGACCGGUGAGUUUCAGAGAGGAGCAGUGAGCAGACCCUUUGGUUCUUUACCACCACUGAACUCUCCAUUCCCAGGGCUCUGGAGUGAGGCCCUCGGGACCAGCUAUCAAAGAGGACCGCAGCCGCAGUGGACAUGCACAGCUCCAUUCCCAAUACUCUUCCUCCAGCCUCAGGCACAAUUAUACUUUUUAACCUCCUUCACUUUCAUGUAGGAAAGAUGUCUAAUCACCCAAGAGCGGCGUGGCUGGAUUCUUUGGGAAAGAAGCAGACAGCUAGGCUGCCCCCCAACUCCUGCCAUCCCGAUCCUGCUCCCCUUCCUUCCUGCAGGGCUGUGUCGCUGCUGCAACUGGACAUGUUUCUUUGACUUUUCUAUGCCUCUACCUACCUUUGUGUGUGAUCGGAAGUGCAGGGAGUCCCGAGUGCAUGGCCACUGGGUGACAGCAUGGUGCCCCCUCGCUCCCUGGCCUGUCCCCAGCUCCUGGGGCACGAGGGAGGACCUGGGAGGGGUGAGGACGGCUGGGGCUGCUCCUCUGCCCAGCCCAGGAUG